GUUUAGUAAAGAUAAGGUCCAUCAUCAUUUCCUCCAAUGGCAGACUUCCCAAGACUCGAGGGAUGUUUUUGACACUAAGCCCUUUCAAAAGCCCACCUGGGAUGACUGCCAACAGCUGCUCCACACCCUCUUCACUAAGGAGGAGCGGGACUGGAUUUCCCAAGAGGCUGUUAAGGCAGCCCUUGGACUCAACACAGACUUUGGUCCCCGGCACUCCAGCUUAUCUGCAGAGAGCAGAGGCCGAGGUGCCAACCCGCUGACCCUCCUGGGACCCCAACACCGAUGCAGCCCUGCUGCCUGCCUCAGACCUGAUGACCCCACUACAUGACUGCCAGGAGACCCUCCAGGACAUAACCUCGACCUGACCUGAUUUGUGGGUUGUGCCCCUAAAAGACCCUGAGGAGACAUUCUUCAUGGAUGGAAACAGCUUCCUCAAACAAGGA